rnacentral:RNase_P_RNA from 1 species
UGGUCUGUCGCUCCGGCCUACGGGGCCGUAGAGGAAAGUCCGGGCAACACAGGACGCCGCAUUUUCUAACGGAAAGCUGGCAGCGAUGUCAGGGAUAAGUGACAGAGAACGACCGCCCGGCGGCGCAAGCAGCCGGGUAAGGGUGAAAAGGCGAGUGUAAGAGACCACCGGGCCGCAUGGCGACAUGCGGCGCCGCACAUCCUGCGGGUUGCAAGGCCAAAUACACCGGCAGUCAAGGAUGGUCCGUCCAUUGCCGGGGGGUAGGCUGCUAUAGCCGGCAGGCAACUGCCGACAAAGAUAAAUGACAGACGCGGAACGGAAAUUGUUCCGUACAUAACCCGGCUUACAGCGCCUCU